GCUGGGCACAGUGGGCGUGCCUGUAAUCUCAAUUACUUGAGAAGCUGAGGCAAGAAGUUUGCAAGUUCAAGGCCAACUUUGGCAACUU
rnacentral:sRNA from 1 species